rnacentral:piRNA from 1 species
UAUGCUUUGGAAUUCUACCCCCUUG